rnacentral:rRNA from 1 species
UACAGAGGGGUGCGAGCGUUAAUCGGAAUUAUUGGGCGUAAAGGGCGCGUAGGCGGUCCGGUAAGCGUGUGGUGAAAGCCCGGGGCUCAACCCCGGGUCUGCCGUGCGAACUGCCGGACUCGAGCACUGUAGAGGCAGGUGGAAUUCCGAGUGUAGCGGUGGAAUGCGUAGAGAUUCGGAGGAACACCGGUGGCGAAGGCGGCCUGCUGGGCAGUGUCUGACGCUGAGGCGCGACAGCGUGGGGAGCAAACAGG